UACGUAGGGGGCAAGCGUUAUCCGGAUUCACUGGGUGUAAAGGGAGCGUAGACGGCCAUGCAAGCCUGGAGUGAAAGCCCGGGGCCCAACCCCGGGACUGCUCUGGGAACUGUGCGGCUGGAGUGCGGGAGGGGCAGGCGGAAUUCCUGGUGUAGCGGUGAAAUGCGUAGAUAUCAGGAGGAACACCAGCGGCGAAGGCGGCCUGCUGGACCGCGACUGACGUUGAGGCUCGAAAGCGUGGGGAGCAAACAGG
rnacentral:rRNA from 1 species